rnacentral:rRNA from 1 species
GGGCCCCCAAUGAAAACUCUUCUCUCCAGCGUGGAUCCGACGUGGCACGAGCCCAUUGGACCCCUGGAUAUCCCCCUCUCUCUUGUUGCUGCAAAUCCAUUUGCCUCCCCAAAGAACCCAUUUCUUUCUUCUCCAAAAGAACAAAAAAUUCUGAAACAAAGAGAAGAGCAGAGAAAAUCAAGAAGCAGAAAUGGCAGUUCUUGGUCUAUCUACUGCCUUCUCUCCCCCAAGAGGUUCUUGGAUAGCCGUGAGGCUCAGGAAUGGCGCCACCGGGCGGAGCGGCGGCGGCCUGUCCCUGAGGAGGUCCGCCGCCGCCGCCGUGGCCGUCCGCGCGGAGGUGAGCUUCGUGGACGGCGACGAGGCGAAGCGGCUGGUGGCGGAGGAGGGGUACACGGUGCUGGACGUCCGGGACCGGCGGCAGUACGAGAGGGCGCACGUCAGGGCCUCCGCCCACGUCCCGCUCUACAUCGAGAACGAAGACAACGACAUUGGGACGAUCAUCAAGCGGCAGGCGCACAACAACUUCGCCGGCCUGUUCUACGGCCUGUCCUUCACCAAGCUAAACCGGGACUUCACCAAGACGGUGAGGAGCAAGUUCUCGCCGGAGAGCAAGCUGCUGGUUGUCUGCCAGGAAGGCCUCAGGUCCACAGCGGCUGCAGAUGCAUUGGAGCGAGAGGGCUUCCAGAACCUGGCCUGCAUCACCUCAGGCCUUCAGACACUGAAACCAGGAACGUUCGAGACCGUCGGCAAAGCCGAGCUGCAGAAUGCGGGGAAAGCUGGCCUUGUGACCAUCCAGGGGAAGAUCUCCAUAGUUCUUGGGACUGUCUUGAUAACCUUGUUGCUGCUCAUAACAGUGUUCCCGGACCAGGCUGAGCAAAUCUUCGAGUCGGCUGGCAUCAAAUUGUGAUCAGGAUCGCGGCUCUUCUAGUUACUCUCUUGAGUUCAUUUUUCACUGGCAGGUUAAGUGUAUCAGUAGGUGGACUUGGUGGAAUCUCUUCACUCUGAAAAAGGAUGUUAGGCUCCAUGUGUAAUAUUUAGGGACUUUCUGAAAAUUCUACUGCUGUGUAUUUUUGGCUCGAGUAACAUCUUUUUUUCACACACACCCUCUUCUGUGUCAAUUGUAGUUCGAUCCAUAAAUUUGGUGGCGUUUCAAGUAAAAAUUAGAAUUGUGUUCAACUCAUCAAUUUUGAAUUUUUUUAGUUAGAUGCCAGACCUCCAUUAUUUUUUGCCGCGCGUGCGGAUUAGUGCUUCAGGGCUUCAGUGCUGAAGAACUUAUCCAUCUUAUAUCCAGAAUUUGUGUUCGAAAUAUAGAGCAUAAAAGUACGAAAACAGAGCGAUCCGACGACUUCUAAAACGUGUGCAUGUGGUGUACGCUUUAGGUCUGCUGCACCGGCUAUUCGUUCCGAUACGUUAUGUGGAUGGAUCGGCGACGACACCGGUUUUAGAUAUGAGGAGUGAGAGCACUCCACAUUAUCGAGUUUUGUAGGUGUGAGUGGUGGCUUUAGGUGGCUUGAUGUAUGUUCUUGUUAGACCUACGUUGAAUAAUAAAUAAAGAUGGCC